rnacentral:rRNA from 1 species
AGGGUUUGAUUCUGGCUCAGGAUGAACGCUAGCUACAGGCUUAACACAUGCAAGUCGAGGGGCAGCAUGUCGGUUGCUUGCAACCGACGAUGGCGACCGGCGCACGGGUGAGUAACGCGUAUCCAACCUACCCUUGUCCAUCGGAUAACCCGUCGAAAGGCGGCCUAACACGAUAUGCGGUUCUCAGCAGGCAUCUAACGAGAACGAAAUGUGAAGGAGAAGGAUGGGGAUGCGUCUGAUUAGCUUGUUGGCGGGGUAACGGCCCACCAAGGCGACGAUCAGUAGGGGUUCUGAGAGGAAGGUCCCCCACAUUGGAACUGAGACACGGUCCAA